rnacentral:lncRNA from 10 species
GCUGUGAAAUUGUUCUGUCUUUGAAAAAAAAAAUGUUUGGAUGGCACAAGUCACCACCUCUAGAAGCAAAAACUUCAACCUCCUGUGUAUCUGAGGCACCUCGCCCUGACUGGUAAAGCAAAGAAACUGGAUAGGAGAAGGCCUGUGUUGAGGGCAUCAAUGGCUAACUGUCAGCAGGGACAACAGCCAUUAUCCCAUAUCCAGUGAGUACAACAGCAUGAAGUCUUGCUACCUUGCCAGAUGCUAUCACCAUGCCCUUGGACUUCCCAACCUCCAGGAUUACUUGCUGCAGUUUUACAUCCAGUUCACUGAUCAACUAUCAAACUGAAGGAUAGCUUGUCACUGCAUCUGCAGUGACUCACUUGCCUUGGGGAAAAAUACAUGUCACACAUUUACAUUUUGGCUUUUAAGUGAGGAAACUUCAUGGUUUUCAGAACAGAGUAAGAUUCUUGAAAACUAAAACAAUAAAUCCAAUGCUGAUUGUGAUCAAUGAUGAA